rnacentral:rRNA from 1 species
CUCUUACGGGAGGCAGCAGUGAGGAAUAUUGGUCAAUGGGCGGAAGCCUGAACCAGCCAAGUCGCGUGAGGGAAUAAGGCCCUACGGGUCGUAAACCUCUUUUGCCGGGGAGCAAGGGCGGGGACGUGUCCCGGCCCGGAGAGUACCCGGAGAAAAAGCAUCGGCUAACUCCGUGCCAGCAGCCGCGGUAAUACGGAGGAUGCGAGCGUUAUCCGGAUUUAUUGGGUUUAAAGGGUGCGUAGGCGGGCUUUUAAGUCAGCGGUAAAAAUUCGGGGCUCAACCCCGGCCGGCCGUUGAAACUGGGG